AGGAGAUCAUGGAAAAAAACUCACCUCAGUUUCAGUUUCAUUUUGAGGAGCACGGAUUCAGCUGAUGCAGGACAGACGAACACGCGUGUGUUUAUCCGGUGGAGAGAGGCUCAUGAUGCUGAAUGAUGUCAUCAAAGGCUUUGAAGCUUUUGUGGUGGAGCAAGACCUGCAAGGAAAGAUGAUG